rnacentral:rRNA from 1 species
UGGGGAAUAUUGCACAAUGGGCGCAAGCCUGAUGCAGCGACGCCGCGUGAGGGAUGGAGGCCUUCGGGUUGUAAACCUCUUUCGCCAGUGAAGCAGGCCAUCUUCUUUGUGGGGUGGUUGACGGUAGCUGGAUAAGAAGCGCCGGCUAACUACGUGCCAGCAGCCGCGGUAAUACGUAGGGCGCGAGCGUUGUCCGGAAUUAUUGGGCGUAAAGAGCUCGUAGGCGGCUGGUCGCGUCUGUCGUGAAAUCCCCUGGCUUAACUGGGGGCUUGCGGUGGGUACGGGCCGGCUUGAGUGCGGUCGGGGAGACUGGAAUUCCUGGUGUAGCGGUGGAAUGCGCAGAUAUCAGGAGGAACACCGGUGGCGAAGGCGGGUCUCUGGGCCGUUACUGACGCUGAGGAGCGAAAGCGUGGGGAGCGAACAGG